rnacentral:rRNA from 1 species
ACCCGCGCACCCGUGACCCAACCAACCCUUGGGGUUGGGCGAGCCCCCCCUCCUUCUCGGGGGCCGGGGGCCGCCCCUCCCCUCCCCCUCCCGUCGCCUCGGCGGCGGGGGAGGACGGACGAAAACCCCGGCGCGGCGCCGCGCCAAGGAACACUGACGAAGGAAGCGGGGCGGCCGCGCGCGCCAGCGCGGCGGGCCGCCCCGCGGCCGACCGUAAAAGGUAACACCUAACGACUCUCGGCAACGGAUAUCUCGGCUCUCGCAUCGAUGAAGAACGUAGCGAAAUGCGAUACCUGGUGUGAAUUGCAGAAUCCCGCGAACCAUCUAGUCUUUGAACGCAAGUUGCGCCCGAGGCCGUCCGGCCGAGGGCACGCCUGCCUGGGCGUCACGCAUCGCGACGCUCCGCGCCCCGCCCGCCCGAACGGCGGAGUGGGUGCCGCGGACGCGGAGACUGGCCCCCCGCGCCUCCGGCGCGGCGGGCCGAAGAGCGGGCCGCCCGCGCGGGCCGGGCACGGCGAGUGGUGGACGCGCCAGCGAGCCGAGCGCCGUGCCUCCGGCCCCAGCGGCGAGAGAGGCCCAAGAGGACCCCCACCCCGAGCGGCGCGCCUCCUAGCAGUAGGCAGGCCGCGCGAUCGGACCGCGACCCCAGGUCAGGCGGGGCCACCCGCUGAGUUUAAGCA